rnacentral:rRNA from 1 species
AAUGGGUCAGCGACUUAUAUUCUGUAGCAAGGUUAACCGAAUAGGGGAGCCGAAGGGAAACCGAGUCUUAACUGGGCGUUAAGUUGCAGGGUAUAGACCCGAAACCCGGUGAUCUAGCCAUGGGCAGGUUGAAGGUUGGGUAACACUAACUGGAGGACCGAACCGACUAAUGUUGAAAAAUUAGCGGAUGACUUGUGGCUGGGGGUGAAAGGCCAAUCAAACCGGGAGAUAGCUGGUUCUCCCCGAAAGCUAUUUAGGUAGCGCCUCGUGAAUUCAUCUCCGGGGGUAGAGCACUGUUUCGGCAAGGGGGUCAUCCCGACUUACCAACCCGAUGCAAACUGCGAAUACCGGAGAAUGUUAUCACGGGAGACACACGGCGGGUGCUAACGUCCGUCGUGAAGAGGGAAACAACCCAGACCGCCAGCUAAGGUCCCAAAGUCAUGGUUAAGUGGGAAACGAUGUGGGAAGGCCCAGACAGCCAGGAUGUUGGCUUAGAAGCAGCCAUCAUUUAAAGAAAGCGUAAUAGCUCACUGGUCGAGUCGGCCUGCGCGGAAGAUGUAACGGGGCUAAACCAUGCACCGAAGCUGCGGCAGCGACGCUUAUGCGUUGUUGGGUAGGGGAGCGUUCUGUAAGCCUGUGAAGGUGUGCUGUGAGGCAUGCUGGAGGUAUCAGAAGUGCGAAUGCUGACAU